GUAGUCUGUGAUGAUGUAGUUCUUGGUUGGCCUGAAUUCUCUUUGGAAUAUGAGGGCAACUUAAGUCACUACCUCUUCUGAGACAC
ensembl:snoRNA small nucleolar RNA, C/D box 11